CGCGGCCUCUGCGCCUCAGCCGACCUCCACCGCGGCAGGGACGCAUCCUGCUCUGCACCCUGGUUCUCGGCGCUGCGCCCGCGGAGGCUCGUGCAGGGCAGGCUGCCCGUGCGGGUGAGGACUGAGUGCCGCGCAGGGAAGGAGUAUCGCAGACCGGCGCCCAGGCCCAGCGGGGGAAUCCAAGGGCCGUGUUGCAGGACUCGGCAUUCGUUCUGCGCGGGUCACCUUGAAUGUCUGUCCGGAUCCCUCGCGGCAGGGCCGCAGAGGCGCGUCCAUAUCUUGGAGGAAUUCGUUCCAUAGAAUGAGGACCCCGGCUGCGGCGAGGAGGAAGGAGCCAGCCUAGCAGCUUCUGCGCCUGUGGCCGCGGGUGUCCUGGAGGCCUCUCGGUGUGACGAGUGGGGGACCCGAAGGCUCGUGCGCCACCUCCAGGCCUGGACGCUGCCCUCCGUCUUCUGCCCCCAAUAGGUGCGCCGGACCUUCAGGCCCUGGGGUGAAUUCAGCUGCUCCUACAUCAGCUUCCGGAACCACCAAAAAUUCAAAUUGGGAUUUUCCGGAGUAAACAAGAGCCUAGAGCCCUUUGCUCAAUGCUGGAUUUAAUACGUAUAUAUUUUUAAGCGAGUUGGUUUUUUCCCCUUUGAUUUUUGAUCUUCGCGACAGUUCCUCCCACGCAUAUUAUCGUUGUUGCCGUCGUUUUCUCUCCCCGCGUGGCUCCUUGACCUGCGAGGGAGAGAGAGGACACCGAAGCCGGGAGCUCGCAGGGACCAUGUAUCAGAGCUUGGCCAUGGCCGCCAACCACGGGCCGCCCCCCGGUGCCUACGAGGCGGGCGGCCCC
rnacentral:lncRNA from 1 species